rnacentral:rRNA from 1 species
UUUUAAUUGGAGGCUUGUAUGAAUGAUUGGACAAGAAACAAAUUGUCUUUACUGAAUAUUUGAAUUUGUUUUUUAAGUGAAAAAACUUAAAUAUUAUUAAGGGACGAUAAGACCCUAUAAAUCUUUAUAUUAUAAUAUCUUUACUUUAAUAUUUUAUGUCUAACUUAAUAAAUUUAAUAAAUAUUUUAUUGGGGUGAUAAGAGUAUAAUUUUUUAACUGCUCUAAAUUAAACAGGUUUACUUGAUAUAUAAUAGAUCCUUUAUUUAAGAUUAAAAAAUUAAGUUACUUUAGGGAUAACAGCGUUAUUCUUUUUGAGAGUUCUAAUCGAAAAAAGAGUUUGCGACCUCGAUGUUGAAUUAAAAUUUCUUUAUGGUGCAGCCGUUAUAAAAGUAAGUCUGUUCGACUUUUAAAAUUUUACGUGAUCU